rnacentral:rRNA from 1 species
GAUGAACGCUGGCGGCGUGCCUAAUACAUGCAAGUCGAGCGAACGGACGAGAAGCUUGCUUCUCUGAUGUUAGCGGCGGACGGGUGAGUAACACGUGGAUAACCUACCUAUAAGACUGGGAUAACUUCGGGAAACCGGAGCUAAUACCGGAUAAUAUUUUGAACCGCAUGGUUCAAAAGUGAAAGACGGUCUUGCUGUCACUUAUAGAUGGAUCCGCGCUGCAUUAGCUAGUUGGUAAGGUAACGGCUUACCAAGGCAACGAUGCAUAGCCGACCUGAGAGGGUGAUCGGCCACACUGGAACUGAGACACGGUCCAGACUCCUACGGGAGGCAGCAGUAGGGAAUCUUCCGCAAUGGGCGAAAGCCUGACGGAGCAACGCCGCGUGAGUGAUGAAGGUCUUCGGAUCGUAAAACUCUGUUAUUAGGGAAGAACAUAUGUGUAAGUAACUGUGCACAUCUUGACGGUACCUAAUCAGAAAGCCACGGCUAACUACGUGCCAGCAGCCGCGGUAAUACGUAGGUGGCAAGCGUUAUCCGGAAUUAUUGGGCGUAAAGCGCGCGUAGGCGGUUUUUUAGUCUGAUGUGAAAGCCCACGGCUCAACCGUGGAGGGUCAUUGGAAACUGGAAAACUUGAGUGCAGAAGAGGAAAGUGGAAUUCCAUGUGUAGCGGUGAAAUGCGCAGAGAUAUGGAGGAACACCAGUGGCGAAGGCGACUUUCUGGUCUGUAACUGACGCUGAUGUGCGAAAGCGUGGGGAUCAAACAGGAUUAGAUACCCUGGUAGUCCACGCCGUAAACGAUGAGUGCUAAGUGUUAGGGGGUUUCCGCCCCUUAGUGCUGCAGCUAACGCAUUAAGCACUCCGCCUGGGGAGUACGACCGCAAGGUUGAAACUCAGAGGAAUUGACGGGGACCCGCACAAGCGGUGGAGCAUGUGGUUUAAUUCGAAGCAACGCGAAGAACCUUACCAAAUCUUGACAUCCUUUGACAACUCUAGAGAUAGAGCCUUCCCCUUCGGGGGACAAAGUGACAGGUGGUGCAUGGUUGUCGUCAGCUCGUGUCGUGAGAUGUUGGGUUAAGUCCCGCAACGAGCGCAACCCUUAAGCUUAGUUGCCAUCAUUAAGUUGGGCACUCUAAGUUGACUGCCGGUGACAAACCGGAGGAAGGUGGGGAUGACGUCAAAUCAUCAUGCCCCUUAUGAUUUGGGCUACACACGUGCUACAAUGGACAAUACAAAGGGCAGCGAAACCGCGAGGUCAAGCAAAUCUCAUAAAGUUGUUCUCAGUUCGGAUUGUAGUCUGCAACUCGACUACAUGAAGCUGGAAUCGCUAGUAAUCGUAGAUCAGCAUGCUACGGUGAAUACGUUCCCGGGUCU